GGCUACAUCAUAUUGAAAUGCUGGUUCCUGUACAAUCACUGAAGUUAAGCAACACCAAGACUGGUUUGUACCUGGAUGGGUGACUGCUUGGGAGUACCAGGUGCUGUAAU